GACGAACGCUGGCGGCGUGCCUAAUACAUGCAAGUUGAGCGCUGAAGGUUGGUACUUGUACCAACUGGAUGAGCAGCGAACGGGUGAGUAACGCGUGGGGAAUCUGCCUUUGAGCAGGGGACAACAUUUGGAAACGAAUGCUAAUACCGCAUAAAAACUUUAAACACACGUUUUAAGUUUGAAAGAUGCAAUUGCAUCACUCAAAGAUGAUCCCGCGUUGUAUUAGCUAGUUGGUGAGGUAAAGGCUCACCAAGGCGAUGAUACAUAGCCGACCUGAGAGGGUGAUCGGCCACAUUGGGACUGAGACACGGCCCAAACUCCUACGGGAGGCAGCAGUAGGGAAUCUUCGGCAAUGGACGAAAGUCUGACCGAGCAACGCCGCGUGAGUGAAGAAGGUUUUCGGAUCGUAAAACUCUGUUGGUAGAGAAGAACGUUGGUGAGAGUGGAAAGCUCACCAAGUGACGGUAACUACCCAGAAAGGGACGGCUAACUACGUG
rnacentral:rRNA from 1 species